UACGUAGGGUGCAAGCGUUAAUCGGAAUUACUGGGCGUAAAGCGUGCGCAGGCGGUUUGUAAGUUUGUCGUGAAAGCCCGGCUCAACCUGGGAAUUGCGAUGAAGACUGCAAGGCUUGAAUCUGGCAGAGGGGGUAGAAUUCCACGUGUAGCAGUGAAAUGCGUAGAGAUGUGGAGGAACACCGAUGGCGAAGGCAGCCCCUGGGUCAAGAUUGACGCUCAUGCACGAAAGCGUGGGGAGCAAACAGG
rnacentral:rRNA from 1 species